UUCCGGUUGAUCCUGCCGGACCCUACUGCUAUCGGGGGAGGACUAAAACAUGCAAGUCGUGCGUCUCCAAGCCAUGGUGGAGACGCGGCACACGGCUCAGUAACACGUGGCUAACCUACCCUUGAGACGGGGACAACCCCGGGAAACUGGGGCUAAUCCCCGAUAGGGGAGGACACCUGGAAAGGGUCUUCCCCCAAAGGGCGUCUAGACCAUGCUUCUAGAUGCCGCUCAAGGAUGGGGCCGCGGCCGAUCAGGUUGUUGGUGAGGUAACGGCUCACCAAGCCUAUAACCGGUACGGGCCGUGAGAGCGGGAGCCCGGAGAUGGGCACUGAGACAAGGGCCCAGGCCCUACGGGGCGCAGCAGUUGCGAAAACUCCGCAAUGCACGAAAGUGUGACGGGGCUACCCCGAGUGCCGUCCGCUGAGGGCGGCUUUUCCCCGGUGUAAGGAGCCGGGGGAAUAAGGAGAGGGCAAGUCUGGUGUCAGCCGCCGCGGUAAUACCAGCUCUCCGAGUGGUUGGGACGAUUAUUGGGCUUAAAGCGUCCGUAGCCGGCCUGGCAAGUCUUCCGUUAAAUCCAACGAUUCAAUCGUUGGACUGCGGGAGAUACUGUCAGGCUAGGGGGCGGGAGAGGCCGACGGUAUUCCCGGGGUAGGGGUAAAAUCCUAUAAUCCCGGGAAGACCACCAGUGGCGAAGGCGGUCGGCUAGAACGCGCCCGACGGUGAGGGACGAAAGCUGGGGGAGCGAACCGGAUUAGAUACCCGGGUAGUCCCAGCUGUAAACGAUGCGGGCUAGGUGUUGGAGCGGCUACGGGCCGCUUCAGUGCCGCAGGGAAACCAUUAAGCCCGCCGCCUGGGGAGUACGGCCGCAAGGCUGAAACUUAAAGGAAUUGGCGGGGGAGCACCACAAGGGGUGAAGCUUGCGGUUUAAUUGGAUUCAACGCCGG
rnacentral:rRNA from 1 species